rnacentral:rRNA from 1 species
AUUGACCGCUGGCGGAAGGCCUAACACAUGCAAGUCGCACGAGUGGCGGACGGGUGAGUAAUGUCUGGGAAACUGCCUGAUGGAGGGGGAUAACUCCUGGAAACGGUCGCUAAUACAGCAUACCAUCGGAUGUGCCCAGAUGGGAGUAGCGAGUAGGUGGGGUAAAGGCUCACCUAGGCGACGAUCCCUAGCUGGUCUGAGAGGAUGACCAGCCACACUGUAACUGAGACACGGUCCAGACUCCUACGGGAGGCAGCAGUGGGGAAUAUUGCACAAUGGGCGCAAGCCUGAUGCAGCCAUGCCGCGUGUAUGAAGAAGGCCUUCGGGGUUUAAAGUACUUUCAGCGGGGAGGCGUUACCCGCAGAAGAAGCACCGGCUAACUCCGUGCCAGCAGCCGCGGUAAUUC